GAUGAAGCGUAGUGAAAUGCGAUACGUAAUGUGAAUUGCAGAAUUCAGUGAAUCAUCGAGUCUUUGAACGCACAUUGCGCCCCCUGGUAUUCCGGGGGGCAUGCCUGUCCGAGCGUCAUUGCUGCCCUCAAGCACGGCUUGUGUGUUGGGCCUCCGUCCUCCUCCCGGGGGACGGGCCCGAAAGGCAGCGGCGGCACCGCGUCCGGUCCUCGAGCGUAUGGGGCUUCGUCACCCGCUCUUGUAGGCCCGGCCGGCGCUUGCCGACACAUCAAUCUUUUUUCCAGGUUGACCUCGGAUCAGGUAGGGAUACCCGCUGAACUUAAGCAUAUCAAUAAGCGGAGGA
rnacentral:misc_RNA from 1 species